CAUGCCGUAAACGUUGGGAACUAGAUGUAGGGCCUGUUCCACGGGUUCUGUGUCGUAGCUAACGCAUUAAGUUCCCCGCCUGGGGAGUACGGCCGCAAGGCUAAAACUCAAAGGAAUUGACGGGGGCCCGCACAAGCGGCGGAGCAUGCGGAUUAAUUCGAUGCAACGCGAAGAACCUUACCAAGGCUUGACAUAUAGAAGAACACUGCAGAGAUGCAGGACUCUUUGGACACUUCUAUACAGGUGG
rnacentral:rRNA from 1 species